GACAGAGGGUGCAAACGUUUGUUCGGAAUUACUGGGCGUAAAGCGCGUGUAGGCGGCCCUGCAAGUCGGAUGUGAAAUCCCACGGCUCAACCGUGGAAGUGCAUUCGAAACUGCAGGGCUAGAGUCCUGGAGAGGAAGGUGGAAUGCUUGGUGUAGAGGUGAAAUUCGUAGAUAUCAAGCGGAACACCGGUGGCGAAGGCGGCCUUCUGGACAGUGACUGACGCUGAGACGCGAAAAGCGUGGGGAGCAAACAGG
rnacentral:rRNA from 1 species